CACGGUCAUUGCCUCUCCACAGGCACUGUCCCUUAUCUGGACUCUGCCACAGCCUCUCCUCCUCCACUGCCAUGAAGAUCUUAAAGCAAUUAAAUCUCAUGCAAGAAAGUCCAUGAUGAAUAAACUUCCCAAAUGUUAAGGAAAGACAAGAUUGGGACCAGCACUGUGCUGAGCCACAUGAGACUCUGAGGCCAAAGAGAGGGGGUACAUUUCUUACCUGGCACAAGCUGCUCCUUUAAAUCGUGCACUGCAGAGGGCAGGGAAGAGGGUCAGCAGUGUUCGGACAUGUUUGGAGCACCAGCAAAGCAGCUUGAGGAGGAGAGAAUGGGGAGCUGUCAAGAGCAGGUGGGAGAAGGUUGAGGCAAGAGGAUAAGGCAGCUUGAUGCAGGUAAACAUGAGGACCUUCAAAGCCAUUUUGGAUGUUGGAAGUGGGAAGAGCCACAAGGAGGAAGGACUCUGGGUACCAGAAUCACUCUUGGAGAUGAGCUUCAUGACAAUUAGGAGUCCCUGCUUGGGAGUACUACAUAAGUGAGAAAUAAAUAUCUGUUGUGUUAAA